CCUGGCUUCCUGGACUUUCUUGUGGCUACCAACAGCUCCCCAUCCCCAAAUUGUUACACACCUCUGUUCAAUUUCCUGACCCUCUGUACUUUUGCCCUGUGUCCUCCCAUACCAGAUCCUGUCUCCUUUUCCAUCCCCUCCACCUCCGAUCUUCCUCUCAAGUCCCUCUCACCCUCUAUCUCCCUUGAUUAUUUUGUUCCCACUUCUAAAUAGGACUGAAGCAUCCACACUUUGGUCUUCCUUCUUGAGCGUCCUAUGGUUUGUGAGUUGAAUUGGGAACAUAAUGGUGUUUGUCCGUUAACGAUGGGGUUAUUUCAACCAGUAUAUUUUUUGCCAGUUCCAUAACUUAGAACAAGAUGUAAAACUAUAAACUCUUUCUGCACCGUGCUGCCUUGACACUGAAGUGCUUCCACAUUAAUGAUAAUGAACUGAACCUCGGAACUAUAACGUAAUUUCAGUAUGAUCAAAGAUACAACACUUACCAUCUGGGCCAAUUAUCCAACUAAAGUUCCACUUUAUGUAAUGAAGGUUCUCUUCAGAUGGCCUGAAUAGAUGGACUG